ACACUGAUGAAGAGUCCCACAAUAGGACGAAAAGACCGUCUAGUGU
rnacentral:hammerhead_ribozyme from 1 species